UCACUUUGUAAUGGUAGCUCUUGGCUU
rnacentral:piRNA from 1 species